rnacentral:rRNA from 1 species
UACGGAGGGUGCGAGCGUUAAUCGGAAUGACUGGGCGUAAAGGGUGCGUAGGCGGUUUGAUAAGUUAUGUGUGAAAGUUCUGGGCUUAACCUGGAGAUUGCAGAUAAGACUGUUGAACUGGAGUAUGGGAGAGGGUAGUGGAAUUUCCGGUGUAGCGGUGAAAUGCGUAGAGAUCGGAAGGAACACCAGUGGCGAAGGCGACUACCUGGCCUGAUACUGACGCUGAGGCACGAAAGCAUGGGGAGCAAACAGG